rnacentral:SRP_RNA from 1 species
CCCGUCCUCAAAAGCCGCUCUGGUCGUGGUGCGACUACCUUCGUGCCGUGGAGGCUUUUGGUCGUCCAGCGGGUGUGACUGCUGCUGCCGCGACGGGUCGUCCGGCGGGGGUGGUGGCUGCUGC